UGGAGGUUUAUGAAUAUAUUCCAGCCCAAUUCAGCGGCUGUAAUGGUAUUACGGCCUGAAUUGAUUUAGGGUUUCUUACAGGAAUUGACUGAAUAGUCAUUUCCUUCUCUGUGGAGUAAGAAUUUUUUUUCCCAAUUUCAAUUUUUGCUCUGACCUCUGCCGAAAGAAUGAAGAAACUGUAACUUUCUUUUCUUCUCAUCUCUACGUUUCCUUUUUUUCCUUUGAUUACAAAGGAGACCUAGGUCAAUCUAUUGAAGCCAUCAUUCCUUUUAAGCCAAUAAAACCCUUUGAUUACAGAGUUGCAACCCUUUUUUCAUUCUUUUUUUUUUUUUUGCUUUUUCACUGCAUUUCUGAUUUCCCCUAUUUGAUUUCAUUGCUCUAAUUUCCCAAAUGCUAGAAAGAUAACAAGGUGAUUUGUUGUUAAGUGAAGAUGGAAGACUGGGAGGAUGAGAUUCCACCUCUGCCUGCAAAGGAACAACUUAAAAUCAAAUGGGAUGAUAAACAUAUUGAUGACUCUGAUAUCAAGGAAUCAUGGGAGGAUGAAGAUGAACUUGCUUCGCCUACGGCUUGUGGAAGAAGCCGAUUAUAAAUCAACAAUUGAACUAUUUUCCAAGAAAGGUGAUAAUAAGACUUUUGAUAAUUUUAUUCCCAAAUUUGAAAGUGACUUUGUGGAGUAUGUUGAGCUUAUUUCUCACAAGCUUCGCCCAUAUGAGUUAUCACGAUACUGCACUAAUCAAGGCUGCGAUGAGACUAUCAUUGGCUUCUUUGGAAGCAGCUAAUGUCAAAGAUAUUGCAUCUUCGGUCACAACAAUUCUUGCUAGAUCUAUCAAAUAUUAUUUUUUUUCUGUAGAAUGGGAAGAUUGCGUUAGGGAGAAGAAGAGUUCUAAGAAGAGGCCAAGAGGAUUGAAGGCCAGGGGAGUAUGGAAAGUGAUUUAGGUUGAAGACCAUCGGGAGUAUGGAAAGUGAUUCAGAUUCAGAUUGAAGAUACAUCAAUGGCAGCUAUUUAGAUUGAAUAGGGGUCUGCUUGCUGGGGUUUGUUUAGUGUAUAGAUGUUUGAUAUUUUUUAUAUAUAUAAAAAUGAGAAUAAUUAUUGUUUUUGGAUGAAUACUUGUAAUUUUGGCAACUACAAUCUCAUGAGAUUAUGUUAUAAUUUUUAUUAAUUUAUAUUUUAAUAAUAUUAAGAAUGUUAUUAAA